GACGAACGCUGGCGGCGUGCCUAAUACAUGCAAGUCGAGCGCAGGAAACUGAUGGGACUCUUCGGAGGGAAGGCAGUGGAAAGAGCGGCGGACGGGUGAGUAACACGUAAGGAACCUGCCUCAAGGAUUGGGAUAACUCCGAGAAAUCGGAGCUAAUACCGGAUAGUUCAUCGGACCGCAUGGUCCGUUGAUGAAAGGCGCUCCGGCGUCACCUUGAGAUGGCCUUGCGGUGCAUUAGCUAGUUGGUGGGGUAACGGCCCACCAAGGCGACGAUGCAUAGCCGACCUGAGAGGGUGAUCGGGCACACGGGGACUGAGACACGGACCAGACUCCUACGGGAGGCAGCAGUAGGGAAUCUUCCACAAUGGACGAAAGUCUGAUGGAGCAACGCCGCGUGAGUGAUGAAGGUUUUCGGAUCGUAAAACUCUGUUGUAAGGGAAGAACACGUACGAGAGGAAAUGCUCGUACCUUGACGGUACCUUACGAGGAAGCCACGGCUAACUACGUGCCAGCCGCCGCAGUAAAAC
rnacentral:rRNA from 1 species